AGGAAAUCCUUUGUCAGCCGGUAAACCAGUUCUGGUUUCUCCGGAACUCUCCUUGAAAGCACAUUUCUAUGUAUUGCAAAAUACGCCCGAAAUUGUGCCUUAUAUUGAACAACACAUGACCUUUUUGAAAAACCGACAUGGUGGUAAACCACAAGCGUGGCUGGAGAAAGAGCAUAACACAACGUUUGGUCACUGGUUACGUAACAAGGUUGAAAAAGAGUUAGCGGUUUCCACAGAAAGUAUAUCAGAAACCGUAAAGUGGAUUUCACAUGGAGCACACAGCAACGUAUUAAAAUACGAUGUAUAUGAAAUCAAUG